rnacentral:rRNA from 1 species
UACGUAGGGUGCUAGCGUUGUCCGGAAUCAUUGGGCGUAAAGCGCGUGUAGGCGGUCCGGUAAGUCCGCUGUGAAAGUCGGGGGCUCAACCCUCGGAUGCCGGUGGAUACUGUCGGGCUUGAGUACGGAAGAGGCGAGUGGAAUUUCUGGUGUAGCGGUGAAAUGCGCAGAUAUCAGGAGGAACACCAAUUGCGAAGGCAGCUCGCUGGGACGUUACUGACGCUGAGACGCGAAAGCGUGGGGAGCAAACAGG